AACUCACACACUUUACUAGACCUUCUCUGGGAACAGAACCAAAUUAACUGUACAAAUUUGAAAUUCCAAAUUAAAAAAAAAUAGCUCGGGCUAAAAAAUGUUUAGACGAACUGUUUUAACUUUAGGUAACAACACUCCAGUUCACGCCCAACGCUAUUUCCGUUCGUGUAAUUGUUAUUCUCAGUCUAAAGUAACGUUCAAAUGUAGGCCUCUCGGCUGUAAUGGUUUUCUUCAAAAAUUUGUAAGGCCUAAAGUUUUAGCACAGAAUUUUAGUAUUGCUCAUAAUAAGAAUGAAAUCAGAAUAACCCAAAAAUUAAAAAAUGGGCUUUCGGCAACGCUUAAGAUAAAAUCUCGUAGGCUCAGUACGGUAUCGCCCGAUGUAAACGAGGCAACCUGCCCAGGUCAAACAGAUAAGUUAAAGGAACAAUGUAAGACGUUGGCACAAAAACUGCGUAAGGCUUGUCAGAAGCUUGUCGAAGAAGAUCUGAAAGAAAAGAAGCUGAAAAAAGCAACGGCCAAUGCAGAAAUCCAAACAAAUAGCGCCAAGGAUAUAUCGGAUAAGUUGACCAGAAUACAGCGCUUAAAACAAAAAUGCGACCAAAUGGCCAAAAAAGCAAAUGGCGAAAAAUUAGCGAAGAUUCAAGAGCUUAAAGCGAAAUGCGAUAAAUUGGUGAAAGCGGAAAAGCUUAAAAAACAAUGUAAUAAAUUGGCCCAAAAACAGAAGUGCACAAAAAGAGCUAGGCAAGAAAAGUUAAGGACACUUAAAAAGCAAUGUAAAAAAAUGGCAAAGCAAGCAAUGUGUAAACAAUCUAGUGGAAGUUCUAAAUCUGCCAGUCACAACCUUCAAAAACAAUGCAAAGCGAUGGCUGAAAAAGCUAUGUGUGCUAAAAUGGCCAAAGGUGGAGGUAAAGGUGGUAAAGGAGGCAAAGAUGGCAAGGACGGUAAAUCCAAACUAAAAAAACAAUGUAAGGCACUGGCCCAAAAAGCAAAGUGUGCUAAAUUAGCAAAGAAAAGCAAGCAAGCCAAACUAAAAAAGCAAUGUAAGGCACUGGCCCAGAAAGCAAAGUGUGCUAAAUUAGGAAAAGGCAAAUCAAAGAAAAGCUCUUCUAAACGAUGCAAAGGGGAGUGUGAUUCAAUGCCCGAUACAAUCCAAAGGAAUAAACGAUGCAAAGGAGAGUGCGAUUCAAUGCCCGAUACAAUCCAAAGAAAUAAAAAAUGCAAAGGGGAGUGCGAUUCAAUGCCCGAUACAAUCCAAAAAAAUAAAAAUGCAAAGGGAGUGCGAUUCAAUGCCCGAUACAAUCCAAAGAAAAAAAAAUGCAAAAGUGCGAUUCAAUGCCCGAUACAAUCAAAAAAGAAAAAAAAAAGGUAAGGGUGGUAAGGGCGCUUCUCAACAAGCCAAACUAAAAAAGAAGUGUAAGGCACUGGCCCAAAAAGCAAAGUGUGCUAAAUUAGCAAAGAAAAGCAAGAAAGGUAAAGGAGGCAAAGAUAGCAAUAGCAAGGGCGGUAAAUCCAAACAGACCAAACUAAAAAAACAGUGUAAAGAAUUGGCCGAAAAAGCAAAGUGUACUAAAUUGGCAAAGAAAAGCAAGCAAGCCAAACUAAAAAAGCAAUGUAAAGCACUGGCCCAAAAAGCAAAGUGUGCUAAAUUAGCAAAGAAAAGCAAGAAAGGUAAAAGCGGAAAAGGUAAAUCAAAGAAAAGCUCUUCUAAACGAUGCAAAGGGGAGUGCGAUUCAAUGCCCGAUACAAUCCAAAGGAAUAAACGAUGCAAAGGAGAGUGCGAUUCAAUGCCCGAUACAAUCAAAAGGAAUAAACGAUGCAAAAGGAGAGUGCGAUUCAAUGCCCGAUACAAUCCAAAAGAAAAAGAAAAGCAAAGGUAAGGGUGGUAAGGGCGCUUCUCAACAAGCCAAACUAAAAAAGAAGUGUAAGGCACUGGCCCAAAAAGCAAAGUGUGCUAAAUUAGCAAAGAAAAGCAAGAAAGGUAAAGGAGGCAAAGACAAACUAAAAAAACACAAGCAAGCCAAACUAAAAAAGCAAUGUAAAGCACUGGCCCAAAAAGCAAAGUGUGCUAAAUUAGCAAAGAAAAGCAAGAAAGGUAAAGGCGGAAAAGGUAAAUCAAAGAAAAGC